rnacentral:lncRNA from 1 species
AGGGAGGGUCCUAAGGUGGCAGCCUCCAACAACAGUUUCGACAGGGUAGAAAGUUCCCACAUAUGCCUGUACCAGUAUCUAAAUUCCCAGGGUAAGUUGCAGCCAUCCCUUCCUUUCUGGGAGCCUCUCCAGGGCCAUCAGGUAAGUCUAUCAAAUUGCUGCUUUUGCCCUUAGGUCUGGUACACAUGAGAUUUUGUGUGUGUCCUUUAAGAGUGAGUCUCUAUUUCUCCCAGUACUCUGGGGGCUCCCAAAAUUAAUUCAUGCUAGCCUUCAAAAUAAUUUUUAUCUGCAGAUAGUUUUGACUUGGGUGUGCUUGUGAGAGGAGGUGAGCUCAGGGUGUUUGCUCCACAUCUUGGCAGAACUAUGCAAGGUAAAUACAUUUUAAGUGUAAUACUCAAACAAGAUAUGGUUCACUUAUGAUUUUAACCCUUACAUACUUAGCUGAAGUGAAGUGUUACCUCAAUCAAAGCUCAUAGCUCUUUCUCCCAAACUCUUGCCCAUCCUAAGUUCUUCCUCUCACCUCCUGUUGAUAUUAAUUCUCUUGCUACAGGCUUUAGUAUUCUCAUUUCUGGGCAGCAUCAGGGAUAAGAAAGAAGUGUCUGUCUCAAUGGGUAACACACUUGGGUGGAAACAUGAAGGAGCCAGGUAUAUCUUUAUUUUCAUCACAUUUGCUUUGCCCUGGUGCUCAAAUGCAGCUGUCAGUUCCAUUGUCCUGGGUGUACCCAAUGCUGGCUUUUUUCUUGUGGCAUUUAGAUGAUCUUCAGAUGCCUAGGUGGUCCUCCUGCAGCUUUGUCAUUGGGGCAUGACCAUUUCCUCCCAUGCUCUGGUGCCUGAUCCACCCAACAGCUUUGAUGUCACUUUGCCUUAGCAGCAGGGGAAGCCUGUAGAAUCUGCCUCUCAGUAAACAUCACCAGGGAGAAAACACCAGAAGCAAAUUCUGGUGCCUUGAUUUAGAAUCCCUAGAAACUGGACUUACUGUGAUUAUUUCACAAUAGAUGCAAAUAUCAAAUCAUUAAUGUUGUACCUUUGAAACUACUGUAAUAUCAUAUGUCAGCUAUACCUUGAAAAAAAAUCCCCAGGAAAAGACUCUGAGUUAAGAUUUGGUACAAGUGAUUCAUUAAGGAAAUGCUUUCAGAAAACAAAAACGGCAAGGGAGUAGGGGUGUGGGCAGGAGGAGAAGGGUAGGAAGGCAAGUGAGGGUGAGCUUUUAGAUGGAUUCUCAGGGAGUGUGGCUGCAGCUUGAUUCCUCAGAACUCUGGAGUGUAAAUGAACCGAAGAGAUGUCUGGACCUGAGCAGGGGGCCAGACAGUCGUCCCCCAGCCCCAACACACACACACACACACACACACACACACACACACACACACACACACACACAGCAAUCAAACAUUGGUUAAGGGCCAUGGGGCUGGGGGGCUCUGUGUCCCUGCAAAGUCAGCUCCAGGAGGCUGAGGUAGUCCUUUGGAAAAAAAACAGGUGCAGAGCUCUGGAGGCAAAAGCAAAAGGAAGCAGGAGAGAAGCGUGCAGAAAAGACAGUCCCAGGGGGCUAGAUAGAGCACAGAUGGUGGUUGCUAUAUCUAUAUUUGGAAUCACUUUCAAACUUCAGGGAAGAAUUUCCUUAGUUGCUUCUGAAUUCUCUACGGGGGACAACACAUGAGGCUCAUUCUUGCCUCACAAAUCCUCUUCCCCAAAUGUACCUUCUUCCAGCUCUGGCAACCCUGUAUCUUUUCUUCAGCAGAGCUGAAUGAGCAGUUCUUCAGGUUCAUCUACCCGCCACCCCCACAGUCCUUUCAUCUUGCUACUUGCCAUUUGGUUAUUGCCAUCCCUAUCAUUUUUGUCACAUUAGUCCUUGAUUUUGUUUGUCCCUAUGUGUGUCCUGUGUGCACACACUUGUAUAUCUAAAGUAGGAGUCACAGGGAGAAAGGAAGCAGAACUCACCAUUUUUGUCUCCAAUUAUCAAUUAUUCACAUUGUACUGUAAAGUAGAAGCCUUGCCUUUUUGAAGCCCAACCAGUUCUCACCUUUCUUCAUCCAGUGUCAGCUCACUUCAGGCCAGAUUGCUGCGCAGGGCCUCAGGCAGAGCUGGCAUAUUCCCCUGGGCUACUGGGCCUUUUCUUCUACUGUCCAUACAUCCUGUUCCGCCUGUCACAGACUGUGCCACCAGCUCCCUGGUCUUUCUGUCUGCACAUUGGGUCUCUCUAGUUAUGUGUUGAUUUCUCAGAAAACUCCGUGUAUGUGAGAGGAUUAAGAUGGCAGAAUAAAAGGACUCCUAAAAACCACAAAAUUCACAGCUAAAGGCUGAGCAAUCUUCAGCCAAGUGGACCAGAAACCUUAAAAAAGAUACCCUACUCCAAAAGAAAAAGAGGAAGCCACAUCAAGAGGUAGGAGGGGCGAUUUCACGAUAUAAACAACCCCGUACCUCCCGGGUGGGAAGCUCCACAGACUGAAAACUAACUGGUUCACAGACUCACCUACAGGAGUGAGAGUUCUGAGCCCCACAUUAAACCUUCACAUGCAGGGAUCCGGCACAGGGAGAAAGAGCCCUCAGAGCAUCUGGCAUUGAAGGCCAGUGGGGCCUGUGCACAGGAGCUCCACAGGACUGGGGGAAAUGGAGAUCCCAUUCUUAAAAGGCGCACACAAGACUUUCACGUGCACUGAGUCCCAGGGGAAAGCAAUCUCCAUAGGAAUCUGGGUCAAACCUGACUGCAGUUCUUGGAGGACAUCCUGAGAAAACAGGGGUGAAUGUGGCUUGUUGUGACAGAAGGACAUUGAAGGCAAAGUUCUCAGGAAUAUUCAGCAGCCGUGCCUUUCUCUGGAGGGGGCCAUUUUGGGAAAAUCUGGCCCCACCCGUCAGUCAGCACUGAGAAGCCCCAGGGCAAACAACAGUCCAGGUGGGAUCACAGCCCUGUCCCUUGGUAAACAGGCUACCUAAAGACCGCUUAGGCACACAGCUGCCUCUAAUCCCAUCCAGAGGCUAAGCCACACCCAACAGAGUGAUAAGAAUCAGCUCCACCUACCAGUGGGCAGGCUUCAGUCCUCCCAUCAGGAAGCCUACAGCAAGCCCCUAUACUGACUUCAGCCACAAGGGGGGCAGACACCAGAAGUAAGAGAGGCUACAACUCUAUUAUCUGUAAGAAGCUCACCACACCAAAAACCUAUAAAAAUGAAAAGACAGAGAACUAUAACUCAGAUCAGGGAGAAAGAAAAAACCCCAGAAAAAAAGGUAAGUGAUGAGGAGAUUCUCAGCCUCCAGGAAAAAGACUUCAGACUGUUGAUGCUGAAGAUUAUGCAAGACAUUGGAAAUAAACUGGAGGCAAAGAUGGAUAACUUACAGGAAACACUGACCAAAGAGAUAUAAGAUACAAAACUUAAACAAGAAGAGAUGCAAAAUACAAUAACCGAAAUAAAAAAUUCACUAGAGGCAGCAAACAGCAGAAUACAGAAGGCAGAGGAAUGAAUAAGCGAAGUGGAGGACAGAUUAGUAGAAAUUACGAAUGCAGAACAGAAAAGAGAAAAAAGAUUGAAAACAAAUGAGAGACUCAGAGAACUCUGGGACAAUGUUAAACACACCAACAUCCGUAUCAUAUGGGUGCAUGAAGAAGAUGAGAGAAGGGGACAAAAAAUAUUCCAAGAGAUCACAGCCAAAAACUUCCCUAACAUGUGAAUGGAACCAGUCACUCAAAUCCAGGAAGCACAACGAGUACCAUAUAAAAUAACCCCAAGGAGGAAUACACCGAGACACAUAUUAAUCAAACUAACCAAAAUUAAAGACAAAGAGAAAAUCUUAAAAGCAGCUAGGGAAAAGAAACAAGAAACAUACAAGGGAACCCCGAUAAGGUUAUCAGCAGAUUUUUUUCAGCAGAAACUCUGCAGGCCAGAAGGGAGUAGCAUGAUAUACUUAAUGUGAUGAAAGGAAAAAACCUCCAACCAAGAUUACUCUACCCAGCAAGGCUCUCAUUCAGAUUGAAGGAGAAAUCAAAAGCUUCACAGAUAAGCAAAAGUUGAGAGAAUUCAGCAACACUAAACCAGCCUUACAACAAAUACUAAAGGAUCUUCUCUAGGCAGAAAAGUAAAGGCCGCAAUCAGAACAAAAAUACCACAAAUGACAAGGCUCACAGUAAAGGUAUAUAUACAGUAAAGAUACGAAAUCAUCCAUGCACGAUUAUACCACCAAAAUCCGAAAUCAUGAGAAGAGGUGGGUACAAAUGCAGGACACGGGAGAUGAACUUGCAAUUAAGAGAACAACUUAAAACAAUCUCAUAUACAUAUAGACUCAUAUCAAAACUUCAGAAUAACUGCAAACCAAAAAUCUACAAUUGAUACACAAACAAGGAAUCUCUGGAGAAGAAAUAUAUCUCAUAGUAAAUAAGCGCAUAAUCCACCAUGAAGGGGGUCAUUUACAUCAUUCUUGGAAUGCUGAAGUCUUAGAUCUGAUUUUGAUUUCCUCUCCAUCAAAGAAUUUAUUAUAAUUAUAAUUAAUGCAACUGUACAAUUAAAUAAUACAGUUCUACAAUUAUUAAUAACAAUUUCUCUCCAUGGUGCAAUAAAAGGUCUAUAAUGUCUUGUUUGUCACAUCACCUAGAAUGGUGUAACGCCUAUAUUGAGGAAUCAAUAAGAUGUAAUAAAUUGUGAGGACAUAUUUAUAUAGUUACACUGUUUUUUAACCAAUUGAUACCUUUUAUAUUUUACUUAUGUUCAGGGGGUAUAUUAUUUUUGUUAUUCUUACCAGUUAAGUUACUCUUUUUAUUAUGCUAUAUAAAAUAUUUAAUGGUAUAUAAGGUUUAUUUAUAAAUUUUAGUUGCAUAAUAUACACAAUUUUAAUAUGCUAAUUUUUAAAGAAAAAUUGAAAUGUAAUAGAUAAUACUAAAUUGUGAAGAUGAAAGCCAUACAAAAUGGGAUAAAGUAUAGAAUAAAUUUAUUUGUCUCAGCAUAUUUUCUUUUUUUUUUUUUUUGUCUUUUUGCUAUUUCUUUGGGCCGCUCCCGCGGCAUAUGGAGGUUCCCAGGCUAGGGGUCCAAUCAGAGCUGUAGCCACCGGCCUAUGCCAGGGCCACAGCAACGCAGGAUCCGAGCCGCGUCUGCAACCUACACCACAGCUCACGGCAACGCCGGAUCGUUAACCCACUGAGCAAGGGCAGGGACCAAACCCACAACCUCAUGGUUCCUAGUUAGAUUCGUUAACCACUGCGCCACGAUGGGAACUCUGUCUCAGCAUAUUUUCCAUUCCACUUCUCCAGAGGGAGUCAUUUAAUCUCUUUCUUAAGAUCCAUGAUAUAAUAAUCUGUGUGAAUGUAAUUGCGUUUAAAUAUAUGUAUUUUAUUCUGUAAAAAAAAUUU